rnacentral:pre_miRNA from 1 species
CAACCUUGAAAGCUGGCUAGUCCCCAGGCUGGGCUGGGUGAAUAUCUCUUCAAAAGGCUCACCCUCAAGCACAACUCGGAGC